GAUGAACGCUGGCGGCGUGCCUAAUACAUGCAAGUCGAGCGAACGGACGAGAAGCUUGCUUUUCUGAUGUUAGCGGCGGACGGGUGAGUAACACGUGGAUAACCUACCUAUAAGACUGGGAUAACUUCGGGAAACCGGAGCUAAUACCAGAUAAUAUUUUGAACCGCAUGGUUCAAAAGUGAAAGACGGUCUUGCUGUCACUUAUAGAUGGAUCCGCGCUGCAUUAGCUAGUUGGUAAGGUAACGGCUUACCAAGGCAACGAUGCAUAGCCGACCUGAGAGGGUGAUCGGCCACACUGGAACUGAGACACGGUCCAGACUCCUACGGGAGGCAGCAGUAGGGAAUCUUCCGCAAUGGGCGAAAGCCUGACGGAGCAACGCCGCGUGAGUGAUGAAGGUCUUCGGAUCGUAAAACUCUGUUAUUAGGGAAGAACAUAUGUGUAAGUAACUGUGCACAUCUUGACGGUACCUAAUCAGAAAGCCACGGCUAACUACGUG
rnacentral:rRNA from 1 species